UACGUAGGGUGCGAGCGUUAAUCGGAAUUACUGGGCGUAAAGCGUGCGCAGGCGGUUCGCCAAGUCAGGUGUGAAAUCCCCGGGCUUAACCUGGGAAUUGCGCUUGAAACUAGCGGGCUUGAGUGUGGCAGAGGGGGGUGGAAUUCCUGGUGUAGCAGUGAAAUGCGUAGAUAUCAGGAGGAAUACCGAUGGCGAAGGCAGGUCUCUGGGCUGACACUGACGCUCAUGCACGAAAGCGUGGGGAGCAAACAGG
rnacentral:rRNA from 1 species